CGCGCACGGCUCGGCGCCGCCGGCCACGGCCCCGGCCCCGCUCGCCCAUGGCCGCUCCCGCCGCCGGCACCGUCCUCACCUGCGGCUGCCGCGUCCCGCCCUGCCCUGCCCCCGGGCGCCGAGCCCAGCCCAGCCCCGCCGCGCCGCCUCCUCCCCGGGCCGGGGCCGGGGCCGGGGCUGGGGCUGGGGCCGGGGCGGGCGGGAGGCGGCGCUGCGCUGCUGGGGCUCCGGGGCGGCUCCUGCCCGGGCUGCGCGCAGGUGGCGGGGCCGCUCCCUCCCUCCCUCCCUCCUCCGCUGCGGGCGGGCGGAGCUCGGCUCGGCUCGGCUCGGCUCGGGAGCUAUGCCUGCAUCUGCCCGCGGGACCUGUCGGGGCACGGGCGGAGGCAGGGACGAGCAGGAUGCGGUUUCCGCGGCCCGGGAGUAGAGCGUGUGCCAGGCACUCUCGAGAAUGGGGCAUCGCCAACAAGACGCUUGUCUGGGGCUAGAUCAGCUUCGGCAAAGGACCCGACUCCAGCCCCUGAGCCGUUCUCCAGGCGCCGGGCCGCCUCUCCGCCCGCGCUGGCCGGGGCUCGCCCGUGUUGGGUUCCCUUUGAACUUCCUGGUAAGAGGCAGUCUUGGCUGUGGCUGCUGUUGAAAGAAACACGGUACCUGUAAGGGAUGGACUUCACCUAAACACCGAGCGGCCCGCGAGACUGUUAAUGCUGUUGUUCGCGUCCCCCUGGCCAGCCCUCCAUGAAAUAGGAAGGAGCUCUUGCCCGCGUUGCAUAGCUGAGGGGUGCAAGGCCUGGAGUCCCGAAGAGUCUCCUGUCAUCUAAUUCCCACUGAUUUCACUUCACUACCUUUGUGGAUUUCUGUCCAAUUUACUUGCCCAGGGUCACCCCAGGAAGAGUCAGGAACUGUGCCCACAUAUUUCAAGCAGCAGGCUAGCACCUAAACCACUGGAUUAUGCAGCCCUGCAGGAUUUCUAACAAAACAACAGCUUUGAAAUUCAUUUUUUUUUAGAUCAAGUUUUAUACCAAAUCAUUAAAACAUUUGUAGCGGAAA